rnacentral:snoRNA from 1 species
UAAUUUUAUAUGAUGAUAUCAAUCAGUGCAUAGUUCAACUGAUUAAAGAUUUUAAAGUGAAGAAAUCAAAACAUCGAAUUUAGUCUUUCGCUCCUAUCUGAUAUUAUUA